rnacentral:tRNA from 1 species
GGGCGCUGUCGAUCAGCAGGGAAAUCACCGGGUUUUGCGGGUCCGGGUACACCGCGAGGGUGGCGCCCUUGAGCACCCAC